GACAGAGGAUGCAAGCGUUAUCCGGAAUGAUUGGGCGUAAAGCGUCUGUAGGUGGCUUUUUAAGUCCGCCGUCAAAUCCCAGGGCUCAACCCUGGGACAGGCGGUGGAAACUACCAAGCUGGAGUACGGGUAGGGGCAGAGGGAAUUUCCGGUGGAGCGGGUGAAAUGCGUAGAGAUCGGAAAGAACACCAACGGCGAAAGCACUCUGCUGGGCCGACACUGACACUGGAGAGACGAAAGCUAGGGGAGCGAAUGGGG
rnacentral:rRNA from 1 species